CAGGCGCCAAUCCCCCACCAAAACCUUCCUUCCCCACCGCCGCCGCACGUGCGAUCCCUCCCGCCGGCGAGAGCUCCCGCACCGGCGACCCGCUCCGCCAGCCUCUCCUCCCGUCACCGUCGCGCCCCCUGAGCUCCAGGUCCACGCGAAGGCGUCCCCGACCUCAAGCCGCAGCGCCGCCACCGCCGGGCGCCCGCCGGCCUCGUCUCGACGUCCCUUCAACCACCGAUGCAUCAGGAGAUAUGUUUCCAGGACCGCCACCACCUCUUCUUAUGGGAUAUCCCUCUGUGCCGAGCUCGUCACCCUCAGCUGCACCGUCAUCAUCCAUAGGUGCCAGCAUCGCCAUCAUCGCUAUCCGCGCCAUGUGCCAUCUGCGCCCUCUCUACCAGAGGUGGAGCUGGUGAUCUUGGGGUUGCUCUCGCAACCCCCCGUGCUGUUGCAGCAGGGGAUGUUCUGCUGCGUCUGUGCCCAAGACUUUACGCCUACCGAUACGAUCCUGGCCCUUCCAGCAUGCUUGCAUAAAUUCCAUGAGCUGUGCAUUAUCCCAUGGAUUCGUGGACACACACCUUCUGCGAUGCUUCCAUCACCAUUCCCUGCCCUGACCCUGACAAGACCCACAGCUCAGAUCGCUAUGACGUCGAGGCACAGACAAUGGUUGUGCCAGCUCCGCCUGGAGAGGAGGUGGCAGAGGCUGUGGGGGGCUCUCGUGGGUGGCUGCGCUCUUCAGUGGACAGACUCUCAGGCAGCUGGAGGGGAUGCUCCAGCAGUCAUGCCACUGCAGUUGUACUACCGGUGUCCUCACGGCGUACCACGGGGAGCUGGAGAGUCAACGACUCUGACAAGGAUGACACAGAGGCUGUUGGUGGCUCUCGUGGGUGGCUGCACUCUUAUCUGGCUACACUCUCGAGCACCUGGAGUGGACGCUCAGAGAGCCAUUCCACUAGAAUGGUGUCAUCGGUGUCCUCAGGGUGCACAACUGGAAGGCUGAGCCUGGUACUGAGUGGCUGCGGCAGUACUGAUUUGUGUUCCAGGAGCUGGGAUCCUGAGGCAGCCAUGCAGAAGACGUAGUUCUUCGA